GACGAACGCUGGCGGCGUGCCUAACACAUGCAAGUCAGGGAGAAAGGGGUAGCAAUAUCCCGAGUAAACCGGCGCAAGGGUGAGUAACGCGUAGGUAAUCUGCCCUUAGGACGGGAAUAACUCAUCGAAAGGUGGGCUAAUACCGAAUAACGCUGUGAGACCUUGGUCGAUCAGCCAAAGAGAGCCUCUGCUUGCAUGCCCUUGCUGAAGGAUGAGUCCGCGUACCAUUAGCUUGUUGGUAGGGUAAUGGCCUACCAAGGCGACGAUGGUUAGCUGGUCUGAGAGGAUGAUCAGCCACACUGGAACUGAGACACGGUCCAGACUCCUACGGGAGGCUG
rnacentral:rRNA from 1 species